CUGGCAUACCAACAAUUGAGAUAACAUCUAGGUUUGACGAUCUUUUAAGUAAUUAUCCUACGUCCAUUCUUGCACAAAAGUAUUGUCGUACCUGGAUGUUAUCUCAGUGUUGGCAUGCAUAAG
rnacentral:pre_miRNA from 1 species